ACGGCAUGAUGGGGACAUUUUCUGAUGAGGUCCUUUAAUCUUUCCCAGGCCUCAUGGAACUGCUCACUAUCUUGCUGAGAGAAACUAGUGAGAGCUUGCCUU
rfam:Cephalotus follicularis DNA, scaffold: scaffold5868, isolate: St1.